GUCUGCAACUCGACUGCAUGAAGUCGGAAUCGCUAGUAAUCGCGGAUCAGCAUGCCGCGGUGAAUACGUUCCCGGGUCUUGUACACACCGCCCGUCAAACAAUGGGAGUGGUGUUUACCAGAAGUCGUUAGCCUAACCGCAAGGAGGGCGGCGACCACGGUGAGCACCGUGACUAAUGUUAAGUCGUAACAAGGUACC
rnacentral:rRNA from 1 species